AUUGAACGCUGGCGGCAUGCUUUACACAUGCAAGUCGAACGGCAGCGCGGGCUUCGGCCUGGCGGCGAGUGGCGAACGGGUGAGUAAUACAUCGGAACGUGCCCAGAAGUGGGGGAUAGCUCGGCGAAAGCCGGAUUAAUACCGCAUACGACCUGAGGUUGAAAGCGGGGGAUCUUCGGACCUCGCGCUAUUGGAGCGGCCGAUGGCAGUUUAGCUAGUUGGUGGGGUAAAGGCCUACCAAGGCGACGAUCGGUAGCUGGUCUGAGAGGAAGACCAGCCACACUGUGACUGAGACACGGCCCAGACUCCUACGGGAGGCAGCAGUGGGGAAUUUUGGACAAUGGGCGAAAGCCUGAUCCAGCAAUGCCGCGUGUGUGCUGAAGGCCUUCGGGUUGUAAAGCACUUUUGGCGGGAACGAAAAGGACUGUGCCAAUACCACGGUUCGAUGACGGUACCCGCAGAAUAAGCACCGGCUAACUACGUG
rnacentral:rRNA from 1 species